CCAAACGUUAUUCGGAAUUACUGGGCUUAAAGAGUUCGUAGGCGGUCAAGAAAGUGGGGUGUGAAAGCCCUCGGCUCAACCGAGGAACUGCGCUCCAAACUACUUGACUUGAGGAGGCUAGAGGUAAGCGGAACUGAUGGUGGAGCGGUGAAAUGCGUUGAUAUCAUCAGGAACACCGGAGGCGAAGGCGGCUUACUGGGGCCUUUCUGACGCUGAGGAACGAAAGCCAGGGGAGCGAACGGGAUUAGAUACCCCGGUAGUCCUGGCCGUAAACGAUGAGCACUGGGCCGGAGUUCUGCAUAGGGAUUCCCGGCCGUAGCGAAAAGUGUUAAAGUGCUCCGCCYGGGGGAGUAUGGGUCGCAAAGGCUGA
rnacentral:rRNA from 1 species